UAUACGCGAUGGAUUACAGGCGGAAUCUCCGCCUGCAAAUGCAUCGUCUGAGGUCAUAGCAACUGGAGGAGUUUUUUUUUAUUGUGAACGACGAGCGAGAUUCAUUGUAUUCGGGGCUCUUUGUUCACUUCCGGGUGAACAACCACAGCGACUGAGGACAACGAAAAAAUAGACGGAAACAGAAAAUCAUCACAGACUCAACAAGUGUUCAGCUCGGGACCAUUCAAGAUGGAACAAGAAGAUUUUGUGUUCAGCUCAGACUCCAAAAGAUACGGCACAAAGCGGAUGAGUCUUUGCAUCUCAGCAGAUGAGGUGAGAGGAGGGACUGGAAGGUGAUCGGAGCUGGCUUGAUUAGCACAGACGGGGGCGCUGUAACGAGUUGGAGUCAUUGGAUUGGAAUGCAUCGGGCAUUGUCUGCAGUCUGUGCAGGUAUCAUCAUGACGAUGGAGGAGCAUCACCCUGGAUGAGAGAUCACAUGACCCCAGUCCAUUCAGAUGCUUGCAGCCUACCAUUGUCUUUCCCUGGUGUACUCAUUGUGGAGGAACAAUUACUGACUCUUGAAGGAAAAAAAGAAGAAGUUGGGCUGGUGGUCUGGUAUAGCACAGUGUGUUUAUGUUGCUGUUGAUGAAGAAGAAGAUUGUGAGAACCCGCUGCAGUGAUGCCACCUGACAAGCCAGACAUGCAGCUGAACUUUAACCUCUUAACCUUUGGCCUGUGUGGCUUCAGCUGUGCCCAAGAACAGACAGUUCUACCACUCGGCAGGUGUUUAAAAAAACGGUACAGCUGGAUAUCACCCAAAUAUGAGAACUGGUGUCAUCUGUGUAAAGUGAAAGAAGAGUUCCGUUUCCAAGAAGUGCUGAGAAUGGUCCCAGGGGUCAGAAAGGGAAGCCGCACAAGCUCAGAGCUACUGCCGCCAUCACCGCAGAGCGCCAGGGUUGGACAGCCAGCAUUUUGCGCAGGGAAGAAACUUUGGAUUAAUCCCAAAACUAGCCGUACGUUUGUGGAAAUCGGAGGAAAAGGGUAAGCCACAAAUUUGCAAUGUUUUCUAAAAGGAAACUUAACGGGGGUGCGUGUUGGUGCCUGGAACAGCCCGUGCUCCAUAGAUACCAAAACCUGGAACGACCCCGAAAAGAACCUUUAUCAACCGAGUGCCAAUCAUGUACCCCUGUUCAGACCUGCCACGUGCCGCGGUUUUUUUUUGGUACAAGCCACGCCUAUGUACGCGAGUGGUAGGCGCGCUGCAUUAUUCAUGGGGUGUUUGCAAAGGGGACAUGCCGCGAUUCUUUGGCACGCGACUAUCCAUAUACCCUAAAAAUUACGAGGAAAAAAACAUUCCUCAAAAAAGGGAAACGAAUCCGAAAUGUUGAUCUUAAAUUGCUUUUCAAGGAAGCGUUUCACUUUCGAAGCUGCAACCCCGAAAAUAAGUUUUUCAGAAUCUCACUUCCUGGUCGAAGUCAAGGGUUUUUUGGGGCACAGAAGGAAAGUACACUACCCGCGCGCAAAGCAAUAACUUUUACGACCCUCGCUAUUUAUUUGUUUUUCUUUCCGUUGGUUCGUGUCCUCACACGAGAGAAUCAGCAGAUUAAUUUGCAAGACGUACCGAUAAUAUACUGGAGUCCGUCGAAAGAUAUUAAAAUGUUACUGCUUGGCAUAGUUCAGCGAGUUGUUCAAUUACCCCUUCGUGGGGAGACUCCGGGGACGCGUUCGGCCCACAGAUCAGUUUGGGGGAUACAAUCCCGGUACUCGAUUUCACACGUGUGUCCACGGGAACAAGUUUAUUCAGACGCAGUCCCAGGCUGCGGGGAUUCAGUCCCAAGGGGGAAGGGGUAAGAUGGGAAAUGGAGGAAAUUGGGAAGAUGUUUUCAGGGAUGACACUCGGGAUGAUCAUGUGUUUCUCACUGCUUCUGUGUUUUAUUACGAUGUGAUCGGACAAUUAAGAAGGUGAUCAUAGUCCAACGAACACAGUGCCGGAGCUGCGAUGUAUUUUACCCGGGGAUAACGCGCCGAAACACGGGCAAGGUGGCCUGUCCGCCCGCUUAAUUUGUUUCGGUUUUAAAACAGGAUACUGGAAUUUUAUCCAAGCAAUUAGAGGGACUAAAACUGUAAGGUCUUUAACUGAUGGCAUAUUGGUACAUGACAUGGAAUCUUACUGAGACUGGACAAGCACGAUGGAGUCAAUAUAUGAGCAAAUAAACACAAAUCAGCAAACAAAACAGUCACGCUAAACAACAAAAUACUUCAGCUUGUGAAAUCGUUACGGUUGAAGAAUUACGCUGAACGUGAAAGUGUUUUAAAUGGUUAGAUUCUAAUAUAUCAGAUCAGUUUGGAUUUUUGGUGAUACAUUAUUGUGUCUCAGUGUUUCAUUAAUUUAUUCCAUGGUCACUUUGUCACUUGCAAGUAUAAGAUUGAACAUUCAUUUGUAACUUUUUAUUUGUCAAAACAGUAUUAGUAUUAGUUAAGCUCCACUUACGGUUAAUUCAAUAAUUGUACCCAAGUUUGGAAGUGAUCAAUGUAAGCGCUGUAUUUGCAUUCUGAAUAUAGACAUGUUGGUUCGUAAGUUAUAAUGAAACAUCUCCCAAGUUUUCAACCACCAAACUUUCCCUGCCAUUCCAUGGAGGGCUUGAACUUGUCGAAAGGAACAAACGAAACAAAUCUAAGUCGUUUGAAACGUUUCCUAUUUUCCAGCGUUGUUUGUUCCAGAGUCAACCUUGAUAGAAUUAUACGUGUCCAAUCAUUUUUGGGGGCCAUGACCCCUUAACCCUGACCCCUCGACUCCGGGUGAAAGCGGUCCAUGGAAUAGUCCCACACCCCCGUCAGCAUGUUAUUGCGCCGCCUGGUGUCGAGCCCAGGCUACGCCACCUGCCCCAGACACUCUAACGUUUUAUAGCCCCUCAAGUUUUAGAGCUCCGCUGGCGAAAUAAAAGUUUAUACCAACGAGGGGGGAUUUGAAGUUCGAUUUUUUUCGGGGGACCUCUGAAACAACCCUGGGUUUUUUUUUUUAGGGUUAUGGGAAAGACAUUGGAGACGUUAAAGGGCUGGAGAAGUUCAGUUUGAGCAGAGUUCAAGUUGUAUUUGCAAGUGAAACUUGUAAACCAUUCCGGGAAUUAAAAGUUAAUUUCACUACCGUCCUAAAUGCCCCGUUUUUUUUACAAUGUUCGUAGCUGUUUCGUACAAAUCACUCAACACAUUCGGUCCACAGUAUGUUCACUGUAGAAACACAUGAUCCAAACACGCGUGGUUCAUCUAAGUACAUGUAUACAAGGACAUAUUA